GAUGAACGCUGGCGGCGUGCCUAAUACAUGCAAGUCGAGCGAACAGACGAGGAGCUUGCUCCUCUGACGUUAGCGGCGGACGGGUGAGUAACACGUGGAUAACCUACCUAUAAGACUGGGAUAAUUUCGGGAAACCGGAGCUAAUACCGGAUAAUCUCUUGAACCGCAUGGUUCAAUAGUGAAAGACGGCUUUGCUGUCUGUUCUAGAUGGAUCCGCGCCGCAUUAGCUAGUUGGUAAGGUAACGGCUUACCAAGGCAACGAUGCGUAGCUGACCUGAGAGGGUGAUCGGCCACACUGGAACGGAGACACGGUCCAGACUCCUACGGUAGGCAGCAGUAGGGAAUCUUCCGCAAUGGGCGAAAGCCUGACGGAACAACCCCGCGUGAGUGAUGAAGGUCUUCGGAUCGUAAAACUCUGUUAUUAGGGAAGAACAAAUGUGGAAGUAACUAUGCACGUCUUGACGGUACCUAAUCAGAAAGCCACGGCUAACUACGUG
rnacentral:rRNA from 1 species